AAACAACCUUUGAGAAAUUAGAAUAUGUAAUGAGUAAAGAAGAUAACUACAAAAGACUCAGAGAUUAUAUAAGUAGCUUAAAGAUGACACCGUGUAUUCCCUAUUUAGGUAUCGAUUUGUCAGAUUUAACAUAUAUUGAUUCAGCAUACCCAUCAACCGGCAGCAUUCUAGAAAAUGAACAGAGAUCAAAUUUGAUGAAUAACACCCUUAGAAUAAUUUCUGAUUUACAGCAGUCCUGUGAAUAUGAUAUUCCCAUGUUGCCUCAUGUCCAAAAAUAUCUGAACUCUGUUCAGUAUAUUGAAGAACUGCAGAAGUUUGUGGAAGAUGAUAAUUACAAGCUUUCAUUAAAGAUAGAACCAGGGACAAGCACGCCACGUUCUGCUGCAUCCAGGGAAGACUUAUUAGGUCCUGAAGUAGGAGCGUCUCCAAAAAGUGGAAGAAAAAGUGUAGCCGCUGAAGGAGCCUUGCUACCACAGACACCCCCAUCCCCUCGGAAUCUGAUCCCACAUGGACAUAGGAAGUGCCAUAGCCUGGGCUAUAAUUUCAUUCAUAAAAUGAACACAGCAGAGUUUAAGAGUGCAACGUUCCCAAAUGCGGGCCCCAGACACCUGCUAGAUGACAGCGUCAUGGAGCCCCACGCACCAUCUCGGAGCCACGCAGAGAGCUCUACUCUUUCCAGUGGGAUAUCAAUAGGUAGCAGUGAUGGUUCUGAACUAAGUGAAGAGACGUCAUGGCCUGCUUUUCAAAGGAGCAAAUUAUACUAUUCUCUCCGCUCGCUGACAAGAAUGGCACGAAAUGGCUAUCGAAGCCACGUGAACGCCAGAAGUUCUGCAGAAUCAGAAGACUUGGCAGUACAUUUAUACCCAGGAGCCGUUACUAUUCAAGGUGUUCUCAGGAGAAAAACUUUGUUAAAAGAAGGCAAAAAGCCAACAGUAGCAUCUUGGACAAAUAUUGGGCAGCUUUGUGUGGGACCCAGCUUUUUUACUAUGCUGCCAAAUCUCUAAAGGCAACAAAAAGAAAACAUUUCAAAUCCACGUCAAAUAAGAAUGUGUCUGUUGUUGGAUGGAUGGUGAUGAUGGCUGAUGACCUAGAACAUCCAGAUCUCUUCUUGUUGACUGAUUCUGAGAAAGGAAAUUCAUACAAGUUUCAAGCUGGCAAUAGGAUGAAUGCAAUGCUGUGGUUUAAGCAUUUGAGUGCAGCCUGCCAAAGUAACAAACAACAGGUUCCUGCAAACUUGAUGACAUUUGAGUAAAAACCGAAGAAAGAAGAAAGGUAACCUAUCGCUCCAAAGCAGGAGUGAGGCCAUGCCGGGGAAACACCAGCUAUGAACUGACCCUGUGCCAGGACGGAGCCUGGGGGUUCCAGCUCAGCCUCUGGAGUUCUGAACCAAAAAAACGCUAAUUUCAGGGAAUGAAGUGAGAACAAACCGGAGUUGUAAAACGAACUGCCAUGGACCAUGCUUCUUAUCUCUUAACUGACCUGUGGAAACCACUGCCUUAAAAGAAUGAAAGGAGAACCAACAGGAAAAAAAA